GCGCAGAGACCGGACGCGCGGAGGGGCGUGGCCGGCCCAGUCCAGGUCGCAGGGGCGCGCAGGAGCUGGGAAGGGCGCGUCGGGGCAGGCGGUCAGCCGGCCCCGGUGAUUGGGACUGGGACUGUAGGGUCCCAGCGGGCAGAGAAAGCCAUUACCUGCCCUGGGGAGAAAGACAGUCUUGCCAGGUUGGCCGCCACCUCAGUAGAGACUUCUUCGUGGUUACCUGGCGUGCUCUGCCAGAUAGAGACUUCCUCUAAGCGGUAGUGACCUGUCGGGGACGUGGUGAAUGUGUAACCAGGAGUCCGCAACCCCAGGAGUCCGCAACCCCAGGAGUCCGACUGGAGGCCAACCCUAGGAGAAGUUUCUAAAAGCCUAGGUGCAUUGGAGAUUCAUCUAAGGGAAAUGAAAGGAGAAGGAUUUCUUCCAAAAUAGGUCCUGCCCACACCUCCUCAGGUGCUGAUGAUCGGUGGCAUGUGCUUGCCAUUCCUCAGGAAUAAAACCAGGGCAUAUAAAACCCAAGGCCCAUUAACCCUGUGCAGAGGCGAUCAAUGGAAGCUGGAAAGAUGUGUGUCUUUUCCUGUACAAAAUAUGGCUCAGGAAAAAGCGAAGUCACUGGCUGCCCUGAAGCUGAAGAGAUGCUUCUUCACCUGGUUAGACCUGAGAAGACGCCCCUGGCUCACCCCAGCCUGAGAAUGAGUCCCAGGUUCUCCGAGAGGCAGAUGGGGGCUGGGGCAUGUUUCCUUUCUAGAUCAGCCUCUGGAGUCCAGAUGUGCCUGUCCAGUCCUUUGCAAAGACUUUUCCAGGAUGAUUAUCUUAAAGAUGUUUGCUGCAGUCAAGCAGGUCCUGUCCCAUAGCUCAACAGCAAGUCACCUACACUGGGCGAGGUUCGAGGGCCAGGAAGCAUGGGGCUGGAGGCCCAGCCAGCUCGGCAGUCACUUGGUCUGGACAAGGCAGGGCUGCGUGCUGCUGCCAGCUGUGAAUGACAGCAGUGUCUGGGGGACUUUUUGAUCCUUGAGGGAGCUACCCUCUAACUGAAGGAGAAAAGUCACUGUAGUGGUAAAGAUAGGAAGCAGGUCCAGUGUGAUUGGCAGUUACAGGCAUUGCAUGGUGCCGGGAGGAGGAAAGAUGAGAGAAGUGGGGGAGUGGGGGAAGGCUGGCUCAGCUCUUCUGCUAAGAAAGAGACUUUGGACCAAUCCUGUCUCAAUUUUCACUGUUCUCUUUCCCAGGCGCUAAUGCCAAUGUCCAAUGUACAUAUCAGCUCAAGUCUGACUCAUUGAGCAGAUGAAUUUGCUGAACAGUUCUGAGGCUGUUCAGCUCGCCUUGCAGAGUUAGCCAGGGGUGGGCCUUGCUGGGGUCCAACUUCUCAGAAGGUGCCGCUAGUGGGUGGCUCUUAGUCUGGGAUGACAUUUAACCUCACAACAUGCCUGGGGAACAAGUGUUAAGGGCGUGGACCCUGGGGGCAGGCUGUGUGGAGCCUUCCCAGCAUGGGAGCUGGUGAAGUGGGGGUGGAGGUGGGGCCUAUGGAGGCGGCACAGGCUUUGGAACAACAGAGCAGAACAUGUGGGCUUUUCUUGGGCGAGCUGUCACUCGGGUGGCAAUCUGUGUGUUCUAUUAUAUAGUUUGAUGUCUUGUUAGAAUAGGAAGAUUUCAAAAUUAGCAUCAACAUUUGAGAAGAAAUAAGUCUCCUCCUUAUGCUGCUUAGCUCAAGUGGCACUGAAAACGGCAGAGCUCAGCCCCAGAAUGUUCUCCCUCCCCCAUGCCCAUCCAGCACUGCUGGCAGACGUCCUUCUCUGCAGAGGCCUGAUUUCUGCCUUCAUGGCUCCACAGGCCCCUCAGGGGUUGCUCUGCAGCCACCUGCCCUCCCUAACUCACCUGGCUGGGCAGUGGCAUCAGGGAAGGUGAGGGCUGGUCUCCUCUUCCUCAGUCUCAGCUCUUCUCCACUGGAAUGGGGGACCAGGCCUGGGUGCCUGCUGAUGGGACCACACCAAUACUCUGGGAAGCCCCACCACACCUUCCCUUGGCCCAAACUUGGAAAUAGAUGUCAUUGACUGCCACCUCAAGGCUUCCACGGGCCCCUCAGGUGGACUCCGGGUCAAGGCAGGCACAGGUUUACGGACCACUCUUGCUGGCAGGAUUCUGUUUCUGAUGUGUUCACCGUGAUCUCUGGAACAUGUCCAUGACCGUAUUCUGGGGACCUAGGUCUCUGGGUAUGUUAUGGUGCCCAUAUGAGACCUUGACCUUUUAUCAGUAAACUGAAAAACCUCCUGCCUCUCAACCAAGUUGAUGAUACUUUUCUUUCCUUCCUUCCUUCCUUUCUUUUCUUUUCUUCCUUCCUUCCUUCCUGACUUUCUGUCUUUUGUCUUUUUAGGGCUGCACUCUCGGCACAUGG